rnacentral:rRNA from 1 species
GAUGAACGCUGGCGGCGUGCCUAAUACAUGCAAGUCGAGCGAAUGGAUUGAGAGCUUGCUCUUAUGAAGUUAGCGGCGGACGGGUGAGUAACACGUGGGUAACCUGCCCAUAAGACUGGGAUAACUCCGGGAAACCGGGGCUAAUACCGGAUAACAUUUUGAACCGCAUGGUUCGAAAUUGAAAGGCGGCUUCGGCUGUCACUUAUGGAUGGACCCGCGUCGCAUUAGCUAGUUGGUGAGGUAACGGCUCACCAAGGCAACGAUGCGUAGCCGACCUGAGAGGGUGAUCGGCCACACUGGGACUGAGACACAGCCCAGACUCCUACGGGAGGCAGCAGUAGGGAAUCUUCCGCAAUGGACGAAAGUCUGACGGAGCAACGCCGCGUGAGUGAUGAAGGCCUUCGGGUCGUAAAACUCUGUUGUUAGGGAAGAACAAGUGCUAGUUGAAUAAGCUGGCACCUUGACGGUACCUAACCAGAAAGCCACGGCUAACUACGUGCCAGCCGCCGCCGUAA